AAAAUGCCAAAUUCGGUCAAAAAAUAAAUUCCCCAAAAAGUGAUGGGGAUCGAUAGCCCUGGUGGAUAGCUGCUUAUAACAGUCGGUCCUUUUGAUGUGCGUUUCGAUUUGGCUAAAUUACGACUGAAAAACGAACCGGCUUUCUCAUCUCAUGCAUUUCCCAAGUGUAAGGACACACACUUGAGUCGCAUUUUCAUUUCGUUGUCGCAUUCCACAGAUUGAGAAAGCAAGGCUUUAAUUAUGGCGAAAUGUAUCGCAUUCCGGAUCAUUUUCGAAUUGGAAUGCCACGAAUGCGUGUAAGCUGUACUCAUCGAAUCGGAAUCUGAAAAAUAUGUCAAUGGUUGUUUAUUGUUGAGCCGAGUGAAAGUCGAUUACCCAGUGAACCAGUUUUCUUGCCGCUUUAAGUGGGUUUUUGAGUAGUUUCUGGACCAUUUGCUCGACUGAGUUAAAUGCCCCAAAGGCGGGCGCACAC